GAGUUUACUCAAGAGAAGAGCUCCUUUCAUUCAGGAAAAGCAAAUCUGGACAACAACAUACAAUUCCAGAGGACAUCAGGAGGUGCUAUUGUGGUUACUGUGCUGGUGCAAAGGUGAAGGUAAAGUUGAAUGCUAGAAAUUGGAGAUAUAUACCCUUUCUUCCAUCAAUCAUCAGGGGAAAUGUCAACUCUCUGCCCAACAAAAGCGAUGAGCUGGAGAUAUUGGUGAAGACUGAGAAAGCAUACCAUGAGUGCAGUUUCCUGUGUUUUACUGAAACCUGGUUGAAUCAAAACAACUCGGAAUCCAGUGUGGAUCUACCUGGCUUCACUAUCAUAAGGUCAGACAGAGAUGCUCAAGCUAGUGGCAAGAAGAAAGGAGGAGGUAUAGCUUUAUUUGUCAACCAGAGAUGGUGUAACCCUUCACACAUAACUGUCAAGGAGAAGUUGUGUUGUCCAGAUAUUGAACUGUUGGCAGUUGCUCUUCGGCCAUAUUAUGUUCCAAGAGAAUGCAGUCAUAUAACGUAGUUGUUUACAUCCCACCCAAUUCAACUGCUGAAAUUCUAUUCGAUCUUUUGCAUAAUAGUGUUGCCAGGUUACAGACUCUAAACCCUUAGGCACAAAAAACAAUAUCAGGAGACUUCAACCAUCGAUCAUGUUCGAAUUUUCAAGUGCAGUCAACACCAUCCAACCUACCAUACUCAAAAAUAAUUUCACAGAGAUGACAGCGGAUCCUGCCUGUGUUUUCUGGAUCACAAAUUACCUGGCAGGAAGGCCACAGUUUGUCAGGCUGGGGAACUGUGCAGUAAAGGGGCUCCACAAGGGAGUGCUGGCACCAUUCCUGUUCACACUGUAUAUGUCAGACUUCAAAAACAGCACUGAGUCCUGCCAUAUCCAGAAAUAUUUUGAUGACACUGCUAUUGUGGCAUGUAUCAGAAAUGGACAAGAAGCUGAAUACAGAGAUCUAAUAAGAGCCUUCAGUGACUGGAGUCACAAAAAAUGCCUCCUCCUCAACACCUCAAAGACAAAAGAAAUGAUCAUAGACUUCCACAGAUCCAAACCCCCUAUUCAGCCAGUAAAAACAUGUGGAGUGGACAGGGAAGUGGUGACAUCAUAAAAAUAUCUAGGUGUACAUCUGGAUAAUAAGUUGGACUGGUUUAAGAAUAUAGACCUCAUCUACAAAAAGGAGGAGAGCUGCCUCUUUUGCCUGAGAAAACUCCGAUCAAUAGACAUCUGUAGUAAGAUGCUGCAGAUGUUUUAUCAGUCUGUGGUGGCAAGUGUUCUGUUCUACGCUGCAGUCUGCUGGGGAGGAAGCAUCAAACACAGAUACAAGACGUCUGAACAAACUGGUGAAAAAGGCUGGCUUUGUGGUUGGAUUCAAGUUGGACUCAGUGGAGGAUGUGGUGGAGAGAUCUACACUGAGGAAGGUGGAGACUAUUCUAAAGAGCAUGGAUCACCCACUUCACAACACCUUGAUGGACCAUAGGGCCAAUGGUGGUGGACGGCUCCUCUCUUUACGUUGGACAGAAAGAUUCAGAAGAUCUUUUUGUACCCACAGCCAUCUGUAUCUUGUAUAAAUAGUAGAUAACUUGAGACACCAGACUACAGACAAUAGAAUUUCCCUUCAAGGAUCAAUAAAGUUCUUCAAUUUUUCCACCUGGAUGAAGGAUGCAUGAAAUGAUGGAAGAGGCAAACUAACUGAGUGCAGAGGAGCAGAAGUCGAUUUGGUGCCUCUGCAGAAGCUCCUUGAUGGUAUACUGCUGUGAUAGGUUUCUGGCAUUUUGUUGAGCAAAGAGAGGCCAGCAAUCCAUCCCCCUAUGUAUCCGGCCUCCUCCCCAGACAGUCAUUGAGUCUCCAAACCAGAGAGUCAUAGAGCCUCUUAACCAGACAUCUAGGUGACCACUUCGCUUGAGAACACAGCAUUUUGUACAACCUCAAACCAGCCACCCUGCUGGUCAGCAACCCACGCUGGUACUCAGCCAGCCAGUUGCACUGCCAGUCAGCUGGCCGGCCCACCAGCCUGCAAUGAUGCUCCUUCACCUAAAGGGUGGUCGAUGAGGUUGAUGUUUGUUGCUUUUUAGUCAUCAUUUUGUACCCGUCUUGCUCCUGUUUUGCAGAGUCUUUAACUGGUAUUAAGAGGUUUUGAUCAAUCAGAAUUAAGUAUUUAAUGUAGACAUGCAAUUCAUAAGAAAGCUGCGUAAUAAGGUAACAUAAUUUAUGCUUUGUGACAAGUAUUUGUUUUGAGCAGUUUUCACACAUUUCUCCUGUUACAGUAAUGUUUCUAUUUUGGGAGUCCAGACUUCUGCACUGCCACAUGUUCACCCUUUGACCAAAUUUACAUAUGAACACAGCAGUGUUAUUGCAGAGAAAUGACCCACUGGAUAAAGUCACUUCAGCAGUUUCGUCCAGAGAAAGGUUGGGGACAUGAACAUAGCACCAAACAUGUACCACGUUUAUGGUUUUGGAUGACAAAGAGUGUGAUGAAGAUUGUACUGGCUCACCUUGGUGCGAAAGUCCUUUGAUCUGAUCCGUUCUGUUGAGUCAAAAGGUUGGAAGUAGUCUUUUAUUGUGUCAAACACAAAAAGAACAAUGCCUUUCCUCCAGUGUGUGUGAGUUCAAACACUGGCUACAGGCAAUUACCCCUUUAAGUUCAGCAGCAGCAGACAGUGUUUCAGAUACACGCUCUCUGAAGGUUUAGCAGAUUGAAUUAUAGCGGCCUCUCAGGGACAGCUACAUGCCACCACUUAUCUUUUACCCACACACACACACAAACACCCCGAGCACUGAGGAGUCCUUAAUCACCAAAAUAACUCUGAGCCUUAAAACAGUGUCUGUCUUUUGGAGGCCUGUUUUUGAUGUUGGUGUGACUGGGACCACAUAAAUGGGAUGUUCCAUAUUGAUGAAGGCAGAAAUGAAACUAAAGAACCAAACAAAACACAAGGACAUUAACGGGAACACAGAGGAGAAAUAAUAAUAAUAAUAAUGCUUCAGAUUUCAUAUAGCGCUUUAUCAGAGACCCUCAAAGUGCUUUACAUUGUAUACAUCAUUUAUCGAAAUAUGUAGUAAACUGGGGAAAAAAUUAUGAUACACACUAGAGCCCUGCACGGGAAUGUUUUCUUCAUCCCACUCCUGCCCGCUCUCACUGAAUUUCUGAUCAUUACCUUCUGCAAUCACAAUGUGUCUGUUACACUCCCACAAUGUGUUUGUUCACUGCUGCCCCCACUGUGAAUUUAUGCCUGCAUGAUAACAGAAAUGCAUUGAUUUUGUGUCUCCUCAUGUCCCGCAGGAGGAGCACAUAAUUUUUGGCUACUAAUAAAGAUAUUUAGGGGGUUGUUUGUUUUGUUUCCCUGGCCUGCAUGUCUUUGAUGCACUGGUCAGAAAUAUUGCUCUUAUGUCAUUUUUUUUCACUUAGUUUAAAAUGAAAUUAAGGCAGUUUCAUAUUCUUUUCUCCUCCUGUGUGUUUUAGUUAUUUUUCUACCUAAAAUCAUUUUAAUACAUUGAGGUUAAAGUCUCUUUUUUAAGAGUGACCUGAAUGAGAAACAUUAUCAGGAAUACAAUCAGCUGAUAGACAGCAUUACACAAUAAAUUUAAAUAUCCCUUUGUUUUAUCAAACCUUGUGUGCCAUCACACAGCACAUAAAAAUAGACUGCUUUGCAAAAAAAUACAAUAUGAUAAAGAACAUGAAAAACAGCUGUUUCAAAACUGUUAGCCAGACGUUGCAGCUAUACUGUUUGAAAAAUAUGAAUAAAAACAUUCAAACUUAAUAACACAUCAUUACACCUCAUUUACCCUAAUCAACAAAUAGCAACAAGUGUAGGCUGCGAGUGGCUUAAAUAACACUAAUAAACAACAUAAAAUGAACAAAGUUGACAAAUAAAUUUAACAAAUAAAUUCACUCUGCUAUAAUAUUGCUGAAAGAGAAUGUUUCCCAUCCUGUGCAACUCUCUCAGAGAUGUGCCAACAGACACUAAAGGUCCACUCUGUAGGCACACUGGAUACGGAUAUAGGGAUAUAUCCAGCUCACCAAACUCCACCCUCCCACCCACCUCCCUAAUCACCUGCCUAUCCGAAAUUAAAGCCUGGUUCACCGCCAAUUUUCUCCAACUUAACAGUCAGAAAACAGAAAUUCUUCUCGUAGGUUCAAAAUUCACCCUAUCCAAAGUUGACAGUCUCUCCCUUCCCAUCGACAGUUCCUCAGUUUCCCCCUCACCUCAGGUCAAGAGUCUGGGUGUCGUUCUUGACAGUACUCUUUCUUUCAAAUCACACAUCAGCCAUACCACUCGGACUGCCUACUUCCACCUCCGCCACAUCAAUCGGCUCCGUCCCUCCCUCUCCCCCAACUCCACCUCCAUCCUCGUCCACAAUCUCAUCACCUCCCGUCUGGACUACUGUAUCUCCCUCCUCUUCGGUCUCCCUCACACGUCUCUCCAUAAACUUCAACUAGUCCACAACUCCGCUGCCCGGAUCAUCACCAAAACCCCUUCGUCCCACCACAUCACCCCCAUCCUACAGCAGCUUCACUGGCUCCCGGUCCCACUUAGAAUCCAGUUCAAAAUCCUCCUGUAUACCUUUAAAGCCAUCCACAACCUCGCCCCUCGUUACCUGUCUGACCUCCUCCACAUCGCCACUCCAUCACGCCGCCUCUGAUCCUCUUCCUCUCUCCACCUCACUGUGCCCCCUGUUCACCUCAGCACCAUGGGGGGCAGAGCUUUCAGUCGCUCUGCCCCCCGACUCUGGAACUCUUUACCAUCACACAUCCGCAACAUAGACUCCCUCCCCCUCUUCAAGUCCAAACUCAAGACACACCUGUUUAAACUGGCCUAUCCCUCCCACCACCCCAACUCACUUUUUUAAAUUAAAUUUCAAUUGCUAUUAUUCAUUUCUUUAUUUAUUCCUUUGCUGUUGUUCAUGUUUUAAUGUUGCUUUGUUGAUUUUAACUGUUUUGAUGAUUGAUGAUUUUAAUUGUUAAUAGUGUUUUAUUAUUGUUUUAUAUGUUCUGUAAAGUGUCCUUGAGUGACGUGAAAGGCGCUUCAAAUAAAAUGUAUUAUUAUUAUUAUUAUUAUUAUUAUUAUUAAGAUGAAACACACAGGCUUUGAGGUCACUAGGAAGUGCUCUUCACUGAACUUCCACCGUUUUUUUCUACAUCAUUUGUUGACUCCAUCAUCCUGUUGCUAGGUUACAUCCCAUCCCUCAGUGUUUAUUUUUUUAUUUUUUAUUUUAUUUUAUUUUAAAGUUUAAACCACCCACUCCAGAUGCAGCCCUCUAAUGUGGCGUUCACACUUAGUGCAAGUAAAAUCAUCUACUAGCUUAAUUCGCGCAAAUCUAGACGUGUGAAUGAAAAGUAUUUACCCGCUUCAUUCACACAAAUAAUUUGCUGUAUUCACAAAAAUUAGUCCAUCCACGCAGUUUGUGUGUCAACAGUCUAAAAGCUGUGGAUAGCUGCUUAUGUUAAUUUCAACAGCGCUCCUUGCAAAGUAAACCGGAGGGAUCAAGUGAUAGACAACAGUUUUUCACAAUUUACCAGAUAUUCCAACCUCUUCACUCACUUUCCUCCUUUUCCUCACUUUUUAUUCCUGUUUUUAUUAAAAAAGCCAUGGAUUCAAGAGAAGGGGAGAGUGUCCAUCAAGCAUGGUAGGAGUGAACCACAUUCAGUAGAUUGCUGCUUUGUUUUUGUUGUUGAAGGCCCACAACCAUCGGAAAUGUAGGGGCCACCAUGUCUGGGUCUCCUACAAUAGCUGUGCCUGGACGGCAGGCAUUUCCAGCAGUAUUUUCUGGUAACCCAAACCCAAUUUGACGACCUGUCGGUGAGGGUCAGUGCCAGGAUAUCCCUCCAGGAUACCAAUUACAGGCGCUCUAUCCCAGCUGCAGAGCACCUGUCCAUCUGUCUACUGUGAAUACAGGGUAAAUUUGUGGAAAUAUUUUCACACCAGUGAACAUCUUCCGGUCCGUUCAUGCAUUGGUUAUCGCGACGCAAAUCUCUGCUCAAGUUGUGAUAUUUUCAACUCUCGCAAAUUCACACUAUUCAAUGACUUGUUCUAUUCACGCAAAUAACUGCUCAACCUAUUAAAAGUUGCACUGAAUCUUAAAGGACAAUUUGUUUGCACAAUUUGAAAAUGCACACACACGCGAACCAGGUUUGUUUCUGAAAAACAUUUAAACUUCAUUGUUCUCGAACAUGCCCUGCUCUGGUCCUAGUUCUCUGACUCUCCUGUGUCCUCUGUUUUUAUCCUGCAACAAGUGAGAUCUUAGCAGCUAAACUACUGUAUGUUUAUAUUUUAGAGAGGUUCUUUUGAUGGAAGGUCAUCCACCAGUAACAGGAGUAAUACAUAGUGGUGAUGGAGCUGGAUCUGUGGCCAAGGCUAAAGCAUUAGAGGGAGGUCUCGAUCACCACAACUGUCUAACCUGUAACUAUACACAAGGGAGACUGUCCUGCAGUGGCGGAAGACCAGUGAUGGGCUUAGUCAUAGGCAGUGGCGGCUGCUGGUCUUUCAAGGAGGGGAAGCUCAUUUUUCUGGCCUACAUCAUUAUUGUAUUUGUUUAUUAGUAUGUAACAGAACAGAGUCGCCAAACACAACGGCAGUCGUUUUUGACAAAGACAAAAGUCGCUGAGGAUCGGUAAAGUCUCUGGAGCAGUUAAGAACAACGGAAUGAGUGACUUGGAAAAUGCUCUGGUAGAUGUUUUAUUCUUCAAGAUCGCUGAUUCGCUUGUUUAGCUGUCAAUCAAAAAAGGAUUUCGCCUCAGACAGCUCAUCCAAUCAUGAAUGCAGAAGCUUGGAGUCCGGGAGAAAGUCGGGACCGCCCUCUCGCCAUAGAACUCCAGUGAAGCUGGGCUUCCAUUGGGCGGGACAAAGCCCAGCAUUUAUCCAAUGAGCGUCUAGUUUCGCUGCUGGAACAACCCACUUUAAGCUUCCACACUGAAGUCAGCAGAAGCCCAGCGUCCGACUGUUUGAAGCGCUGAGGCGCUGCGAGGAUGAAUGAGAACGAAGUUAUGCCGGUUACCUGUGAUUAUCAGCUUCUUAUCACAGUGUCUGAACAAAAGUUGAAGGCUUUCUAGUGCGUAUUUAGUUAAUGAAAUGUACACACAGCCGUACGUAUUUCACCACUUUUUCUUUUUUUGGGGGGUGACAUUUUAAGGGAAGCCGAGCUUCCCUUGCAGUCUUAGAGCAAUCGCCACUGGUCAUAGGGUACCUGUCCCAUACCCACAGCUGUGAGUUAGCAUCACAGACAUAUGGGGGGAAUGCACACCUGUGACCAGAUGCUGUGAACAAACCCAGCCCAUAAUAGUUUUUCAGUACCUUUUGGGCAUUGCUGUCACUAACAGCCUCAUUGUGUGCAAGGAGCUCAACAAUAGACAGCAGCAGAAGCUAGUGACACACCAGGCUUUCCAAGAGGAGAUGUGUGCAAAGCUGCUUGAUGUAGCUGGCCCACCCAAGCCCGCUGCUCAACACCACUUUCCUGUCCCCACCAACAAAAGACAGGAGGAUAAAAGAUAAAGGAUGAGCCUUGGGAGGAAACAGUGCACUCUCUGCAAAACAACAAAAAAAGAUUGGGCUCUGUCUUCAGCUGGACAGGAAAUGCUUUAUUGACCACCACUGCAGCUAAAAGCACCUGGACAUGGACAAAUAUAACAAUCUGUAACAUGGACCCUGAGAGC